GUCCACUGCUACAAUAAACUGUGCACUGGUCUUGGUUUUAGCUUAACACAGAGCCAAACUGUACUGACCCAACAUCAUUUGAACAUCCCAGGAGCUUUGAUCAACUUCUUCUGCAGAUGGAAAGUCAAGCAGAGAGAUGGAACCAAUUGUCGAGCACUUCUUGGAGAAAUUCUUAAAAACGCCGGUAUGGGUGCACUUCAGACAAAAUUAUUGGAAGGUGAAUAUCUUACAUCUGGAACCUCACCUUCUGAUCCAAUACUGGAUACUUCCCAACCAUUCAUGACUGAGGCACAGGUUCUCCAGUGUGGGGAAGAUUUGAAGACAUUCUAUCGCGAACAGAUGUGCAAAAUCAAACCUGACCCGCUUGAUUUCAAUAUCAUCCUAGAA